AACUCGAGUGUUGUUGACAAAUGCUGCACAUGUUUAUUUGAAGCAUCUUAAUUUAUCCAAGCACACCAAGAAGCUUUCUCUAGCAAGCAGAGCUAUUUUGCUAUCUGGUCCUGGAGACUAUGGUGAUUGGUUACUCUCUAGGUGUUGGACCUAUUCCUUGCUAGUUUUCCUCAGUGAAAAGUGGAGGAGUUCAACCUUUUAUUUUCAUGGAUUUAAUAAGCAGUUGUGUGAUUCUUUCUCUUUCGAAGUUUUAGUUUGGCUUCUGUUGAAAAUUUCAUGAAAUGUUUGUUCUUUUUCUGAGCAGGCAGAGGAAGGCAGUGAUGAAGUCUAUUGCCAGGUCUUGUUGGUUCCUGAAAGUGAGGUGAGAUUUAUACAAGACUAUGAAUUCUGAAUUAUGAAUUUAGGAUAUUUAUGAUCUUAAUUUGUUUUAGUUUAGAUUUGAAGAAGAAAUUGAGAAACAUACUUCAAAUUCUCUCAACAUUUUAGUACUACUUAGUGCCUAGACCUUAGGGGUCAAUUAAAAGUAAGAUUGACUAAGCUUUGCUUAAUUUAGCUGCGUGUCAUGUUUCUGGGAAACCAAAUAACACAAAAAGUACACAACGGUACCUGUGUAUUUGUCUAUGUUACCUAGCUCUUCAACUUUACUUUCUAACAGGUAAAAGAGAAGUACAAAGUUUCUUGUUAGAAGAGUGAAAAGGAAAGGAAAGAUAUGUGUUUACUAUUAAAUGAAGCGCCUCUAUUAGUUGAUGCUGAUGGUGAAGAAGAUGAUACUGAAGCUGUGGUGAAGUCAACAACACCCCAUAUGUUUUGCAAGACUCUUACUGCUUCUUACACUAGCACUCAUGGUGGAUUUUCUGUGCCUCGUUGAGCAGCUGAAGAUUGCUUUCCUCCUCUGGAUUACAGUCAACAGAGGCCUUCACAAGAGCUUGUGGCGAAGGAUUUGCAUGGCCUUGAAUGGAGGUUUAGACAUAUAUACAGAGGGCAGCCACGGAGACAUUUGCUCACAACUGGAUGGAGUGCAUUUGUGAACAAGAAGAAGCUUGUGUCUGGAGAUGCUGUGUUAUUCCUUAGGGGUGACGAUGGAGAAUUAAGACUAGGGAUUCGUAGGGCUGCUCAGUUGAAGAAUGGUUUGACAACUCUUUUACUUA